rnacentral:lncRNA from 1 species
AUCCUAGGAGAAAAUUCAUCACACUAGGUCCAUUUCUUUUGUUAACUUAUGAGAAAGAUUCAUCACACUAAGACUUUGAUCCUAGGAGAAAAUUCAUCAAACUAGGUCAUUUUUUUUUGUUAUCUUAGGAGAAAGAUUCAUCAGACUAAGAUUUUGAUCCUAGGAGAAAGUUUAUCAGACUAGGUUUCUUUUCCUUCUUUUUUUGUAUCUUAGGAGAAAGAUUCAUCAGACUAAGAUUUCUAUCAUAUGAGAAAGUUCAUCAGACUAGAUUUUCUAUCUUAGGAGACAGACUCAUCAGACUAAGAUUUUUAUUAGGAGGAAAAUCCAUCAGACUAGGACUUUUUAUCCUAGGAGAAAAAAAAAUGGGAAGAUCAACGACGAGAUUUUAUGCACAAUAGCAAGGCAAAUAAAGGCAAAGAUUUGAGAAACUUCCCUUUGUCGGCUCUUCUCCUCUUUUUUUUGAACCACUUUCCUUGCACUGCUUUGUUCCUGUUUAAACAAAGAAAAUUUUUGUCAGAUUCAAAAGUGGUGGUUGGCUUGUGGCCUUGAGUCUUGAGCAGCUUGGCUUUUGCUCGAUCAGCCUGAGUCGAUCUCAAGAAACUUUUGUUCUGCACCACCUCUGAUUGUUUCACACCCAGUACCAUUUGUAUUUGUAACUCAAAUAGCCUUAUCCCAACUGGAGAUCUUUGCUUAGGUGACCUUUUUUGAUAUCUUGAAUGACUUCCUGCUUUUGAGUAAUUUGUUUGUUAGAGAGAAUCACCAGUUAUCUUUGCUUGCGCCAAAUAGGCUGACAAGAAUCUUUUGCGGGAGGCUUUUCUUGAAUCCUCAAGGCACAUUGACAGUAACAACCGAGUGUGCUGGCCAAAUUUACUUUGUGCAACUGAAAAUCUGGUAGCAGAUUUUGAAAUCUUUUCUUGCUUGUUUUGACAAGGACUGACUCGGAGUGAAGGACACAAUGAUGCAAAGAAACAAGUAUUAACAAGAAAUGCCCAUGUCGGAAGGACAGAAGGAAGAGUUUUUUUUCCUUUUCUAUUUUUUUCUUUGUUUUUUUCCCAAUAACUAGCCUUAAUAGUCAUGACAUGUAUUUUGGACUCAAUGGCCUGAUCUAUCAAACUAAUCCAAUUUUCCCUUUUGCCAUUCUUAUGACCUUUGAAGUCGGGCUUGUUUGUGUCAAUCUUUCGCAUUAUCUUCACGACUCACUUUCGACUAGUGGUGCCCCGAGGGAUUUUCACCAAUAAAUCUCUUUCAUUUGUUCAUCUCUGCUUACUGUCGUCUUACAAUGCCCGUGAGAGUUUUCACUAGUAAGACUCUCUCAUUUUUUUUCUUUUUCUCCAUUGAUUUCUUGAGCAACUUAACAGUAUUCUAUGUCGUGUGACAACCAUUGCUCAUUGCAUGCUUCUCUUUGCAUUUUUUGAAGUCAUAUCGGGAGGUCGUUAUUUGGAAUGAUUUUGGAUAGGGUUGAAAAGAAAGGACGUUAUGAUGACUCGAAAUAGACUCAAAAUAAAAGGGGGUUAUAGACUUACAACUUCUUGGAAUCGACUCUUUCAAAAGUGAAAUAAAAUCUUUGCCCCAGUUUCAGCUAUUGGGGAUUUUUUGGAAUUUUUUUUUGAAUUCUUAUUUGGUUAGACCGAACCGUGAAGCUUCCUACGUAUCCUUUUUUAAAGAAUCAGGUCGAACGUAGUUCAAACAUCUGACCUAACUAUUUUUUUUUCAUNNNNNNNNNNNNNNNNNNNNNNNNNNNNNNNNNNNNNNNNNNNNNNNNNNNNNNNNNNNNNNNNNNNNNNNNNNNNNNNNNNNNNNNNNNNNNNNNNNNNNNNNNNNNNNNNNNNNNNNNNNNNNNNNNNNNNNNNNNNCUUUCUCUUUUUUCUUUUUUUUUUCGCUUUUUUCUCUUUUUUUUUUCAAAACAAGUUGCCCCAACUUUUAUUUUCUGGGGACAUGGACCUUUGAGUAUUUUUUUUUUCUUUUUCGCUUUUUUUUCUUUCCUUUUUUUUUUCAAAACAAGUUGCCCCAACUUUUAUUUUCUGGGGACAUGGACCUUUGACUUUUUUUUUCUUUUUUUUGAACCUUUCUAAGAGUUGCCCCAGUUUAUACUCUUGGGGAAUAGACUUCUCUUUUUUUUGCAUCAUUUUUCAUUUUUUUAUUGGACUUUUAACUCUAAACUUGAUUCCAAAAGAGGGUGGUCAAAGAAAAUAACACAGGCUCAAAAUGGGUAACAAAGGGUAUAAAGUGUUUGGUAGUAGAAAGAGGGCCUCCCAGCCUCGAGAAUGCCAAACAUAUUAUCUUUUCGCGAUCACAACAUUGACGAACAUGUCUGUCUUCUUGGUGUGUCAUGGUUACAAGGCACUUUCCAUCCCUUACUGCCAAACUUUCCAACAGACUUCAAUUGAUUUUUCCUCAACCCGAUCUUCAUAAUGAUUUUGAAGGUAAAGAUUCUUAACCUUCACAGGUCUGACUAUUCUAGUUCCACUUGAAUUUUACUCGGGCUUAAUUCCAUGGUAUUUCAACUCUUUUUCAUCCUCAAAAGUGCCUUUUCCUCAGUUGUCCAAUUCAAGCUUAAAUCAAUUUUCUAAGAUCUGGCCAAAAAUUCCGCAUGCAUGUCAUAUCACUAAAACUAGCGGGAAAAGAACUGAGCAUGGAAGGACACAAAAUGAAAAACUCUAUUUUAUUGAGUAAACAACAAGACAAAUAACCUAAAAUCUGAGUUACAACCCUAAAAUAACCCGGCUAAUGAAAAUAGCAACAAAACCAGACAUAUAAGACUCACACAAACGAAAUAGAGUGAUAGAAGGGUUUGACUCAAUAAAACAAAUAAAAUCUGGAUCUCAACCCUGAAAUAACCCAGAAAAUAGAAAAAACAUCAAAACAAGCUACCAAGAUUCCUUCCUAAUGAGGAGAGAAUGACUUUUUCAAUUGCUAAGCUUGACAUUUAGCCACAAAUUUGCUCAUCAGAAUCACCAUGGCCUUCUCCAAUUUCAGUCGGCAAGUUCCCAAGAGGAUUUUUAUUUUCCAUGUCACCACGCAUCAUCCCCACAGAGUGUGCAUCAUCAUGUGGAGGUAAAAGAUUCUGUGUGAUGUUCUAGGUGUCAUUGUCUUGGAUCACAAUUAGUUAUUCCUGGAUCAUCCUUUCUAUUUCUCUUUUCAAAUUCCGACAGCUUUCAACAUCGUGCCCUUGGGCAUUGGAAUGGUAUUCACACCUUUUAGAAGGGUCAAAGCUUUUUGCACGUGGGUCCAAAUGAUUUGGAGGAAUAGGUGCAAUCAUGUCAUAAUGCUUUAAUUUCUCAAACAAGCUUGCAUAAGACUCUCAUAUUGGUGUAAAAUUAUAUNNNNNNNNNNNNNNNNNNNNNNNNNNNNNNNNNNNNNNNNNNNNNNNNNNNNNNNNNNNNNNNNNNNNNNNNNNNNNNNNNNNNNNNNNNNNNNNNNNNNNNNNNNNNNNNNNNNNNNNNNNNNNNNNNNNNNNNNNNNNNNNNNNNNNNNNNNNNNNNNNNNNNNNNNNNNNNNAGCAAAAGAGUAUUGUGGGUUUUGAGGUGGGUAAUAGUGCUCAGGAAAAUCAUCGAAAAUUAUACAAGGCUGGUCAUACCUUCAAGAUGUUCUCUUAGGACCUCUUCUCAACCCUGAUGUCAUCAUGAUUUCCUCCUCCUUCUCAUUCAUGGCACAAAAAUUACUAGAUUCAAUUUGGACUGCCUGAGUUGCAGCUUUGAGAGCUGCUUGACUUAUAAUUCUGCAUGUCUUAAGGUCAUUCUCUAUCAUUUCUCCCAUUUUGAUUGCUUCCGAGAAAGAUUUGCCAAUUGCGGACAUCAUGUUUUGAAAGUAAUCUGGCUCUUGAGCAUGGAGGAAGAUAGUGAUUAGCUUAUGGUCAUCCAUGGGUGGCUUAACUCUAGCCGCUUGCUCUCUCCAUUUAAUGGCAUAUUCCCUGAAACUUUCAGUUAGUUAUUUCUUCAUGUUAGAAAGGGAAUUGCGGUCUAGGGCAAUGUCGAUGUUGUAUUGGAACUGUUUGACAAAGGCCUGAGCCAUGUCAUCCUAGACAUACCAGCGAGAUGUGUCUUGAUCCAUAAACUAUUCGGAGGCUACUCCUGUAAGGCUUUCCCCAAAAUAAGCCAUCAAUAAUACUUCCUUUCCUCCCCCACCUCUUAGUUGAUUGCAAUACCUUUUCAGGUGGGCUAUGGGGUCUCCAUGUCCAUCAUACUUUUCAAAUUUGGAAGUCUUGAAACCAGGUGGCAAGUGGACAUCGGGGAACAUACAUAAAUCCUUGAAGGCAAUGCUCUUCUGACCAGCCAACCCUUGUAUGUUUUUCAACUGUUGUUCUAAGUUUUUCACUCUUUGGGUCAUUUCUUCCUAUGCCAUCUUUCGGGCAGGCUUUCAAUGUUUGCAGGAAGAUCAAACAAGUACGAGUGGUACUCAGGAGAGUGGUACUACUCUUGUUGGGUAGCAAAUUGUGACUCAUGAGUUUUCUUCUGCACCACCGUCGGUUGUGGGAUAGUGAAGACGGGCAUAACAGUAGUGGUUGUCUGAUUGGUUGUCAAUGGAAAACUUUGGGAGCAUGCAACAUAAGUUCCAGUUGUAGUCGUACAGUUGGGAUAAGGACUGAACCCAGGUGGAUAGGAUUGAUCAGACAAUGAGGUCGGAAUGGCAGUAGUCGAGAUAGGUGUGAACUCUGGGAAACCAUGAGAAGAAAAAGGCGGUCCUUGUCCAUUGGCCCAUGCUUGACACAUUUCAGUCAUUUUUUAUUUCAGUAUUCUAUUUUCCUCAACCAUAGUAGACUCUUGUUGAACCCUCUGACUCUGAGUCUCUUGAGCAUUUGUAAUAGCUUCGAUGUCGGUUGUCAAUGACAUUUUCCCUUGGAGCUUGUGUUGCCAGCCUACCACAAACCAACCACCUUAAACUUUAUUCACAAUUCAAAACAAGAGACACGUUAGAAUGGACUCAGUCAGUCCUUAUUGUUAUCAUUCUUUUUCAUUUUUUUUAAUUUUUCAUUUUAUCAUUUUUUUUAUUUUUUUAGCGGUUGAUCGAACCUGAUGUGGGUUGCGUACGUAUCAUGUGGGAACAUGAAUCAGAUCUUGCGUAGUUCGGGAAGAUUAAGAAUAAAGGAAAUAAACUAAAUCUUUUUUUUAGACUUUGAAUUUCUUUUCUUUUUAAAUUUUUGAAAGAAAGACUUAUAAAGAAGAAAGAAAAUAUUUUUUGAUUUAGAUUUUUUUUUUUGGAAUUUCGAAAGAAAAACUUCUAAAGAAGAAAGAAAAUACAUUUGGAUUUUUGGACUUUUAUGUUAAAAUUAUGAAAGAAAGACUUCUAAAGAAAAUAUUUUUGAAUCUUGAAUUUUCUUUUCUACUUUCGAAAUAAAAACUUCAAAAGAAGAAUGAAAAUAUUUUUGGACUUUUUAGAAGAAAUUAAAAGAAAAUAUUUUUGGAUUUUUUGAAAAUUGGGGCCUUAAAGAACGACUUUUCUAAAUAAUAAAGUAAAGGAAAAUAUUUUUGGGUUUUUAAAAAUUGGGGGUCGGAACCGAUGAGAUUUUCCUACGUAUCUCACAUCCGGUGGGCAUCAGACUCGCAUAGUUCGGUAAAUUUUGACGGAACAUGGAAACAUGGUCCUUGAAAAUUUUGGCUCAUUUUGAAAUGACUUUUCUUUUUUUUUUUCCAGAAUUUCGGAAGAGUUUCAAGAUUUUCAAAUACCUAUCUUACUCUUGUUUUUUCUCUUGAUUUUCUUUUCCUAGCCAAUCGACAUGCAAGCCGAAACAACAAAAUGUUCACAUAGAACGUAUGAUGCAUCAGGAUGAUAUGUUAUUUUGGGUAUACCUGUCCUAGAUAGACUCAACCCCUGUGUUGAGUCCCCAAUAUCAAAUGCACGUGAUGCAAAUAAACGUUCCUACUUGGGAUCCGGCAUGAGGUUACGUUAUUCUAAGUUUAAACCUGGGGUUGUGUUCUAAACCUGGCUUACCCGAGUGGACAACUAGAGCAGAAGAGGGGGCAACGUACCGGGAGCACGAAAGUCUACCCGGCCAUGUUGCUGGCCCAACCUCAUUAUUUUUGGCAUGACUUAUAACAUAAAAAGUGGACCACGCGAACGUGUGCACCGUUUUUUAGAAGACUGAGAAGGGAGGCGUAGGGAGAUAGUUUAAUACAGUUCAAGUAAUAUCAAAGCGGUAAAUAAACGGCAAUUACCACACUAGGUCCACAAAAUACAGUAAUAUCAACAAUAAAUAAAACCAAGUAAAAAUCAUAUUAACAAGCUCGAAUUCUUGAACCCUGAACCAAAAAUUCUGGGUUCUCGAACCUAGCAGAGUUGCCAGAGCUGUCACACCUCCUUUUUCUACCCCGGAAGGGGAUAUAAGGGAGUUUUUCUAAUUAAAGUGGCAAUAAUCGAAAUGGGUUUAAUUAUUCAAUUCAGAGUCGCCAUUUGGGAUAAUUUAUGGUGUCCUAAGUCACCGGUUUGUUUUUAAAUCCCAUAUCAAGGAAAUUUGACUCUUAUUUAUGGUCUGCGAUAUCAAAAGAUCGAGUAAGGAAUUCUGUUAAUCCGGGAAAAGGUGUUAGGCAUUCCCGAGAUCCGUGGUUUUAACACGGUCACUUAGAAAUUUAUACUUGGCUUAUUUUAUCUAAUUAGCCAUUUUAGGACCUAUGUUUAUUUUACCGCUACUAAUCACUUGGUUACCCCUAUCUAAAGAAUUAACUUAAGACGAGUUACAAGUACGUAUACUCGUUUAGUUUGGUGCGUCAAAAUCAUGUCACGCGUACGUGUACACAAUUAAUAACACUUUAUUAUUAUUAAGAAAGUUUGGCCGAAGUUGCGCGAACGCAUACCUCGAUUUAUUUUGAAAAUCAUAAAUAUGUCAUGCGAACGUGUACACAAUCACGAUGAUAGAUUAAGUCACGCCUAAAGCAUUUCUACAAAUAUUUAUUAGUUAUUCUUCCUAAACUUUGAGAUUAUUGUAAGGUAAGAGUUAUGAAAUAAAUUUGUGGAGAUGGGUAUAUGAUUACGACGUUAUUGGGCUUGACAAAUUUAUUAUUUUGCCCAAACUAGUUCAACUCAAUACUUUUAAGUGUAAAAGGUUCACCACUUUUCUAUUCUUCAGUCACUCCCCAUGGCCCACAAAUUUUCACCUACAACCCAAUUUUAACUUCACUCUCUCUCAAAAAUCCAGCAUACAAAAUAAUUCUCAAAGAGAAAACUUCUAACAAGCAACUUAAACAAAUGCAUUAGAUUAAGAAAAAAGCCACUAACAUAAUAUUAAUCAUUGACAAAUCACCUAAUAGAAUUAAACUUAAUGCCAUCCUCUGUUUCUAUUCAAAAUUUAAUUAUAUAAACUUAGGAACAACUCAAUAUUGAUUACACAAAUUAAAUAACAAAACUCAACAUUAAAUACACAAACUUAAUAACCAAACUCAACAUUACACACCCAUUAACACAAGACGGCAAAUUCAAAUAACAAAUAUGAACCAUUUAAUCAGUGACAAGCAAUUAUAGAAGAAGAAAGAUCAAUCCUAUUCGUGAAGAAUAAAGAAAAAUAAGCUGACCUUUAUGCUAAACAAUUUGAUGUCGAACACUGUUGAAAUUUCACAGCCAAAGAAACCUUGAAACAGAGCCUCUAAACUACACCUCGCUGGCGACCUCAAAACUCGAUUGAAGAUGGUGUUUUAAUGGUGUUUUGGAGGCAUUUUUGCUGGUUAGAGGUGCUGAGUUUUGGAAUUUUUUGGGGGCAUGUUUUUGUGGUUAAGAGCUGCGAACAUGGCCAGCCUUCAUGGCUGUUUUGAGGGGAGGAAAACAGAGGUGUUUAGAUAGUGUUGAGGCUGUUGAUUUGGUGGUGAAAACAGAGGUUCAUGGCUGCAUUUUCAGGCAUAUUUUCAGCUCUCUUUUUGGAGUUUUGAGCAGCUUUUCUAUGGCUUUUCACGGAGAUUCAAGGAGCUUUUUUAUAUGGUUUAAAUGGAAGAAAGAUUAGUGAUUGAUGAUGAGGAAGAAGGGAAGAAGCGAGAGAUAUGGUGCUUUGUUUUUUUUUCAAUUUGUGCCUUCCCCCUCCCUCUGUUUUUUUGCUUCCUCCUCAGCUCUGUUUUUAGCCUUUUCUAUUCCCCAAUUUUUGCUAGCCUCUCUUUUUCGUUUUUUCCAGAUCCAGUUUCAUUUUUUUUUUGUUUUGUUUUUGCCCCAAUCCCUAUACGUGAGUUUGUGUAUAUAUUCAUUUGUUUUGGCAGGAAAGAGAAUUUCCCAGAAAGAUCGUGGGGCCUCUUGACAAAAAAACGUGAGUGGAAAUUCAAUAGGGGUGCAUGUGAGUGAAAUGUGAGAUUGUGCAAAAG